rnacentral:rRNA from 1 species
UACGAAGGGUGCAAACGUUGCUCGGAAUCAUUGGGCGUAAAGCGCACGUAGGCGGCUCCAAAAGUCGGAUGUGAAAUCCCUGGGCUCAACCGAGGAAGUGCAUCCGAAACUGCGGAGCUUGAGUAUGGAAGAGGGUCGCGGAAUUCCCGGUGUAGAGGUGAAAUUCGUAGAUAUCGGGAGGAACACCAGUGGCGAAGGCGGCGACCUGGGCCAAUACUG